rnacentral:pre_miRNA from 1 species
AAUGGAAUAACUGGGUCAAAUGGUUUCAUUUCAAGUUUUCUAAGGAAUCUCCAUACUGCUUUCCAUAGUGCUUGCACCAAUUAGCAGUCCCACCAGAAAU